AAUAUGAUGCAAUCAUAAAGGCUAUUUAAAGUCGUACGUCCAACGAAUCGUCUUAAAUAGCUUCAAACCCUUGUAUAAUACGGUCGAUCAAAUUAACAUUCUGUCAAAAUGAAAUCUAUUAUGAUCUGGUGUAUUUUGACAUUUGUCGGAUUAACAUUGGCGGAGACCUCCUUGUAUCCACGAGGAUGUAUUUAUGUGAUGGGAAGAUGUCACAGAGAGUGUGAGGUCGGUACUCAUGCGUAUACCACCGGAUGUGGUUUUUUGACCCCCGAAGCAACUUGUGAUAAUCCAGCCCCUGUAGUAAAUGAAAACGGAAAAAUCUGUGAUUACUCAGCUUGCUAUUGCGACCCUCCCACCGUCAGAGACACCAUCAGCGGCAAAUGUGUGCAGAAGGAAGAUUGCCCUAAGUGAAAAUGUAGAUUGACUGACUUUUGUAUUAUUGAGCUUAAAUAAAACACUGACGACUA